rnacentral:rRNA from 1 species
AACGAACGCUGGCGGCAUGCCUAACACAUGCAAGUCGAACGAGAUCUUCGGGUCUAGUGGCGCACGGGUGCGUAACGCGUGGGAAUCUGCCCUUUGGUUCGGAAUAACAGUUGGAAACGACUGCUAAUACCGGAUGAUGACGAAAGUCCAAAGAUUUAUCGCCAGAGGAUGAGCCCGCGUAGGAUUAGCUAGUUGGUGGGGUAAAGGCGCACCAAGGCGACGAUCCUUAGCUGGUCUGAGAGGAUGAUCAGCCACACUGGGACUGAGACACGGCCCAGACUCCGACGGGAGGAAGCAGUGGGGAAUAUUGGACAAUGGGCGAAAGCCUGAUCCAGCAAUGCCGCGUGAGUGAUGAAGGCCUUAGGGUUGUAAAGCUCUUUUACCCGGGAUGAUAAUGACAGUACCGGGAGAAUAAGCUCCGGCUAACUCCGUGCCAGCCGCCGCAGUAA